CUAAGGAUGAUCCUUCAGAGAGCUCACGCUCGCUAUCGGAUCGUUUUAGAAACAUCUCAGGGGCCGAUCGAUCGAAAGAUCAUCGAGCUCCAUUGGCGGGAUUUCGCCGUCUUCGUUUCUCUUUCUUCGCGGACGAACACGCGCCAGGGCUUUGCGCUUGUGCGAUGCAUCGGCGCUGGCCGAUUGCGCGCGAGCAGGCUUCUGGUGUCAGGGGCUUGUAGCUCAGUUGGUUAGAGCGCGCGCUUGAUAAGCGUGAGGUCGGAAGUUCAAGUCUUCCCAGGCCCACCAAUUCUCAUCGAGUGCGUUUUCAUCAUCGAGAUGCACCUGACACGACCGACGUGAGCAUUCGUCUUCUGGUUACGGGGCCAUAGCUCAGCUGGGAGAGCGCGUGCUUUGCAAGCAUGAGGUCGUCGGUUCGAACCCGUCUGGCUCCACCAGAUGAAUUCGAAGCUCGACGCAUCUGCUUGAAUGCGUUGGUUGCCGAUGAUCAUCGUCCGCGAAACAUCACUUCGCAUGUGCGACCCUCACCAGGGUCAGGACAUGCGUGUUAUCUGACAUCGUAAAGAGGAGAUCGAUCCGAGUUUGGGAUCCGCGAAGCAAUUCGCGUGAACCCAUUCACUAUCUCCGGGAUCAUUUCGGCGCUCGCUGAUCGCAAGAUCGGCGGGUUGUAAAUGGUCCUUGUUGGCGAAGCCUGACCGCCUCGCUAUCGGUUCGAUCUUACGAAGCAAGCUGGUCUUUCUAGUCAAUGUCCGGCCGCGCAGAUGAGGCUUCGGUCUCGGCGGCGCGGCAUACAAUUCUGCCGAGUGUGUGGACAUUGAUAAUGAGAGC
rnacentral:tRNA from 1 species